rnacentral:rRNA from 1 species
AACGAACGCUGGCGGCAUGCCUAACACAUGCAAGUCGAACGAGACCUUCGGGUCUAGUGGCGCACGGGUGCGUAACGCGUGGGAAUCUGCCCCUUGGUUCGGAAUAACAGCGAGAAAUUGCUGCUAAUACCGGAUAAUGACGUAAGUCCAAAGAUUUAUCGCCAAGGGAUGAGCCCGGCGUUAGGAUUAGCUAGUUGGUGUGGUAAAGGCGCACCAAGGCGACGAUCCUUAGCUGGUCUGAGAGGAUGAUCAGCCACACUGGGACUGAGACACGGCCCAGACUCCUACGGGAGGCAGCAGUGGGGGAAUAUUGGACAAUGGGCGAAAGCCUGAUCCAGCAAUGCCGCGUGAGUGAUGAAGGCCUUAGGGUUGUAAAGCUCUUUUACCCGGGAUGAUAAUGACAGUACCGGGAGAAUAAGCUCCGGCUAACUCCGUGCCAGCAGCCGCGGUAAGU